UUACAGAUCAGGGCCUUCCUUUAUUGUACAUAGUGCUGAUUUCUGCUGCUGCUGUUGGAUCUCUGUUGAUUGUAGCUACAAUCAUGAUCUGCUGCAUCUGCAAGAAAUGUAGAAAAACAGCCGAGACCAGAAGUGAUUCAGCAUUGUGUAAACCAACAGCACGAACAAUGAAAUCAAAGGAUCCUGUGUAUGCAAAUGUCGCCAAAAAACGGUGACCAAAUUCCUCGUUUACUGGAAUAAAUGAUUGAGCUCGUACGGGCCCUUACUCAUACUUUUAUUACAGUUUUUUUUUUUUUUUUUUUUUUUUUUAUGUUUAUGUCUCUAUUUUUAUUUCUUUUUUCUCUCGGGUUUGCAUCACAGUGUUUGAUUUAAAGUUAUUUAAGGGAACAUAAAAUGGAAUAUCAAAUGCACAGCGGUGCUGUAGCCCAUCACUCACAUGCGAUAAGGAAAUCACGACUUUAUUUAUAUCUGGUUCUGUAAUAAUAGCGCUACUUUUACCUGAUAGGGUGCACAAUAAAUAAAUGCUUUUCUCAUAGAGAAACCACUGAUAAACCAAUAUAAUACAUUUAUUAUAGCUGAAAUCAGUAGAGCUGCAGGAAUCUUCUCCACAUAGGCAUGAUGUUUUUGAUGAGAUAUUCAGAGUCAGACUGAAGCUGGACAAACAAACUGGAUCUCUGACCAUCACAGACAUCACAACUCAACAUGCUGGAUAAUAUCAACUACAUUAAAACUGUAUUAAAAGAUUCUGCCAAUUUACACACCGUAGUUACUAAAAUAGCCUACAUUAAGAAGAUGAUAUAGUGUGGAAGUUUUCACAGUGGGAAUUUGUAAAAUGAUUUCUAUACAUAGUUCCGAGAAAUCUGUCUUAGAAAGAGCAAACCUUAACUCUGUGUGAUCUUCUAAUCUCUAGAUAAGGCUUGGGUUCCACCUUCAAUGCAAGUCUGUGGGAUUUUUUCUCCUGUUUAUCAUCCAACAAUUGAAAGCGGUCAUCUGAAAUGCACACAAUGGAUGAUAAUAGGCCUAUGUUAAACUGAGU